rnacentral:rRNA from 1 species
CAUGUGACCAUAAUGGCUCAUCACAGCCUGAUCUCGUCUGAUCUCUGAAGCUAAGCAGGGCCUGGUUAGUAUUUGAAUGGGAAACCACUGGGAAUAUCAGGUGCCACAGUGG